AAUAUGGCUGCUGAAAUUAAUAUGGUAAUUCUAGCAGACAUAAGUCCCAUGCCAAAACUAUCAUAUUAAUUUCAGCAUCCAUUAUUAA
rfam:Dictyostelium discoideum AX4 chromosome 5, whole genome shotgun sequence.